CUGGCCGAAAACUUCACAAGUGUUGUCCAAAACCUUCCUCGUCGAAAACUCCACGAAAUUAAAACCUAGCCUCUCAAACUCAUGUCCGUCGAAACUCCACAAAAACGCAUCUCUGCCGAAACUCCACAGAAAUCUAUCUCCACCGAAACUUUCCUCCCACUGCCCGCACCUAACCUCCUUCGUGACCUAGCCUCAUCUGCCACCCCCACCAGCGACCUAGCUUCCUCCUCCACUCCGUCGUCGCUCUUCUUCGUUGCCGUUUUCUUUAACUCUUUUUCUUUGCGGUUGUCGUUCACUAUUUUCCCCUAUGCCAGACGACGACGAGGGCAGAGGAAUCAGGAGGGAUUUUUUUUUUCGAAGUUAGGUAACAUUGACAACACUUGUUAAAGACGAAACCACUUGAGGGCAGAGACAUGGGCAAGUCGGAAGAGGUUCUGAAGGCUGCAAAUAUAGACGAGGAGGCGGAGGGGGCAAACAGCCAUAUAGGUAAGGAGGCAAGCAGUUUAUUAAAAGCUUCUACGAGCAGCUUCGCCUCCAGCAGAGGAUUACUCCAAUGACUCCGGUGUAGAAACGAUUCACUUGUCUUCCUCUAAUCCUGAAACCCUCGUUUUUGCUUUUUCAAGUCUGAUUGGGAAUUUGAUUGAAUUUCUUUAGUGGAAAAUUAUGCAAAGUAAUAGAUUUUACCUUUUGGAACACUCGCAUGGCUUCUUCUUGAGUCUUUUCAUCUUUUCUCAUCCAUUUUGUUCUUUUUUUUGAAUAGUCACAGAGUUUAUUCAUUUGAUUGCUCUUUUGAAUGAAUAAAUAGGCUGAAACAAAACAACUCAUAUAUGAACAAACUGUUUGCUUUCUUCAUUUGCAACUUUUGCAGUAGAUUUGCCUUGCGAUAGUGAUGUUUUUUUGUAGUCCCUUUGACUUGGGUAGGCUUUUCCUUCGUGAUCGGCUUUGUGAAGGCAGUGAGGAAGUUCACUUCGCCGAGAGCACAACACAAGAGAUUGGUCAAUAAGAAUGCUUUCUUACUGAAAUCAAUAGAUAAAUUGUUUCUGAAGGGAAGGAAUGAAGUAAAUAAUGCGGUUCUCUGAAAGAGCUUAUGCAAAAGUGGGGUCAAGAUAUACAAUGCAUCAAGGGGUAUUUCAAAAGGACCGGGUUUUAAACAAUU